rnacentral:lncRNA from 1 species
AUGAUCUACUCUAAACCUGAAGAUCCUGUGAUCCUAUACAGCACUAUAAAUGAUGAAAUCCCACAAGAUCCCAACAAUGACAUAACCUACAGCAUUAUUGAUGAUGUUCCUCGGAGUGAAGUGAUGAAGUCUCCAGCAGGUGGAGCAAUAUACAGCAUUAUAUACAGCACUGGUGGGUCCACACUGACAGCAACCGUGAGAAUAACACAAGAACACAGACCAAGAGAAACAAAUCAACAGGACUGUCAUCACUACCCUUUUUUAUUCUUAAGCUUUGUUUUAAUUAUUUGCUUAUGGAGUGUAGAACCUUAAUUAUUUUUAUGAAUGCACAGUUCAUAACUAGCCUACUCUGUCAAUAGUCUUCUCCUGAAGAAAAUGGGAUUGUUCUUAGCAGUAUGUAAUUCUACAUUGUUUUAUAGUCUGUUUAAUUUCUUCACUGUAAAAAUCAUUUUUUAGUUUACUUGUACAGUGUUACUUUCUUUUCCUUGCAUUAUUACAAACACAAGCAUAUAUAAAAUGAAAUAAAGUAUUGGAGUAUGUAAGAAAAAAAAUAAUAAUAAUGUGACUCCUUUCCCUCUAUGGACUGUCAAUGAUCUGAUCUGAUGGUCUGAUGUGGUGAACGUGGUGAACAGGUGGAGCAGAAGUCAUUUGAAUGUCCAAGUGUUGCUUCUGUGUGUUUUUGUGGUUGUGGUUCAACUGUGUAGAUUAUUUUAUUUUUUGCUUGGAAGUUCCUCACGAUCUUUACAGGAAACUGUGCAGCCACAGCGCUUUUAAACAGUUCUUAAAGAAACAGUAUAUAGUUAUGUAUGUUUUUAUUUACUUGAAUCUCUCAUAUUUUUGAGAAAAUAUAAGAGACUGUUUUUUUUUUUAUCUUGGAUAUACUCAUAUAUAAUGUUUUUAUAUCCUUUUACAGAAAACCCUUUGAAGUGACAUAAAAAGCUGCUGUUUGUGACAAAUAUUAUUAUUUGUGUUGUUUUUCACAUGAUGAACCACCUCAAUACAAGGCGCUUUUUUUGUGUGUUCUAAACACUUUCUUUGAAAGUAGAUAACUCAGGCCCUGUGUGCUCUAGCAAACUGCAUUACUUUAUUAAAAUAUAUCUGGUCUAUCACAAUCUAAAAUAGAAUCCACAUUCUCCAGCUUUAUAUCAUUUCAUUCAUGUGCAUUCUGUAUUGGUAUACUGAUUCAGAGCAUCUGACCUCAGCAAUCCUGUCUCACUUCAGCAUCUUCAGCAUCCUCUCUGUCUGUUUGGUCGCGAGCACAUAUAUGUUCAUCCACACAGCACUGUAAUAAUCCAUGUGUAUUUACUGUAUAUUUACUGAAAUGCAUCAUGUACUGUACUUUUCUGUCAAUAAACAGUUUAUCAGAUUGUCAACUGUGCUUUCACGUUUCAAAAUAAAGAUUCAAAGAUAAAAAAAAGUACCUAACACGCUUAUAGCCUCACCAGACGCGCGUCCAUUCCUCUCCACGGCGCCGGUGAUCAUCCAUAACUUGUAAUAUGAUUAUUAUAAAUUGGUAUUUUCCUAGAAGCAUAUGCGAAAGCUUUUCCGCGUGCGAGCGUUGUAUAUAAUAAGCCGAAAACUACAUAUCCCAGGGUCCACCGCAGUCAUCCCCGGCGGACAUGGAAGGGGUCACUCACUGCCCCCACCCUUCCCCGCUGAUGACGCAGAGGUGUCAAAUUCCACAGCCCACUGCUGAUUGACAUCUGAUCUGACUAAUAGCGCUUCACAACCGAGCUCAGAUUUAUAGAACAUAAUUCCCUUCAACCCGAGAACGCAUUUGAUAUAGGAAGCGCGUCUUUCGACGAACGUGCGCCUUUUUUUCCUUGAUGCGCGUCUGGACAAAACGCUUUAUAUCUCACCGAUGGAAGCACGCAGAAACGUAAAAAUGGUCUUGUUUGAAAGAAGAGAUUCUAAUCUAAAAGAUAAUAUAGAGGUAUAUAGAUAUUUGUGGCUGUUUGCGGCUGACUGAAGCGGUGAUACGAGUAUAAAUAAAAAUUUGCUCUGAGGUGGAGAAAUUUCACAUCGCGCUUUUAUUGAAGAUCAUUCGAUCUGUGAUUGUCACACAAUAAAAUGAUUUACAUCGUCGAAUUUCUGAGAAUGAGAGCUUUCUUGUGAUAUAUGACUUGACUGUUUUGUGAAAAAUAUAUAAAAUACACAUUCUUCGCAAAAAUUAUUCGCUAUUGUUAGGCGGAAAUUUGUGUGUGGGACAAAUAUAUUUCUAAGCUUAAUUUCACUACUUUAUGAAUCAUAAAACCCAAAUUAAUGGUAUUCUUUGUAAAGAAGACACUCUAAGCUUUCAAAUGAACCCAUAUAUGUGCUGAUACCAUAUAAGGAAGGCUUUGCAAAUGAAACACGAACAUUUUGUAUGCUAUUUUUGGACCCGGUACCGGGUCCGCAGAGUUUAAGUGGUUAAUCAGCACUUAAUUGUUUAUUUUUUAUUUUGUUUCACAUGGGACAGCUGCUCACCAUAACAUGAAAACACACCAUAAACGUAGUCCAUUAUUUUGUGCAUUUUAUUCCAAGUCUUCAGAAGUCAUACGAUACCACAGUGUGAGAAAAAGAUUUGUUUUCCAUAAUGUAAUCAUUAUACAUUAAUAACAGUACAAAGCUGUCGUCUCAUCCGUUAAAACUUUCAAAAUUGGCGUUUCAACCAAUGGCGGCGCCCGGGGAAGGCCAAGGAUUUCCAUAUACCCACUUAAAAAAUCAUGAGGAUACGUAACAACUUCGUUUUGUGUCAGAACUUUCACACUUUCAUUCAUAAAUUCACCCCGUCUGUGUUUGCGAAGCGCCACGGAUCGAAUCGCGGAAUCCAGUCAAAAAUGGAACCUGGUAUAUAAAGCAGAACGUCACGGAAUUUGGCUAUUUUUGAAUGAAUAAAUCUAAAGUAGUGCUGUACAAUGAACCUAUGGAGUAGUUUGAGGUCUACACUCAAUACAGACUGUAGUCUGUGAGUUAGGGAUAACUGUCAGCGCAGUCCCUCGGCAAAUUCGUACUACUGAUCACCGUUUUACAAAAGGAUUCAUAGUUUGGAGUGAAGCAUACGUACACUAAGUGACAAGGUUUUAUGAAGUUAUAGUAUGCAGCAUACCACUCAUUAAUCAUUUAUGAACAUAUAGUCACGUUUUGUAAAUGAUUCAUUCAUCAACCAAUAACUUAUAAGUGACUUGUAACUGAAUUAAUAAAACAUUACUAAAAUGUUAACUUAUUACUUAUUAAUCAUUUAUGAAAGUAUAGUCAUGUUUUGUAAAUGAUUAGUUCAUCAUUAACUAAUAAUUUAUAAAUAACUUACAACAGAACGUUAUUAUAAAGUGUUACCAGUCUGGUAAUUCUUCAGUAUAGCUACUUUUCCAUAAUGCACAGUUUAUGCAUGUUUAUGGUAUUCCCUAAACUUAAACUUGUCUACAGAUGCUGGAAUUGGGACUGUGAAUAUUGGAGUGAAAUCUGGAUCACCUGGAAUUAUUCCCUGUCUAUAUGAUAAAAAGCAUAAAGAAACCCGUAAAUACUGGUGUAAGGGGACACAUUGGGUCUCUUGCAGUAUAUUGACAUAUGCAACCAAGACAGGAAAAUAUUCCCUCACUGAUUAUCCAGCCCAGAGUAUUUUUACAGUGCAGUGGGAGAAUCUGCAGAACUCAGACUCUGGAUAUUACUGGUGUGCUUUUGAGAUCAGUGGCGCCCCAGAUGACGGUUAUUAUUUGUAUAUGACGGUACAAUCAG